GAUGAACGCUAGCGGCAUGCCUUACACAUGCAAGUCGAACAGUAACAGGUUAAGCUGACGAGUGGCGAACGGGUGAGUAAUAUAUCGGAACGUGCCCAGUCGUGGGGGAUAACGUAGCGAAAGCUACGCUAAUACCGCAUACGAUCUACGGAUGAAAGCGGGGGAUCGCAAGACCUCGCGCGACUGGAGCGGCCGAUAUCAGAUUAGCUAGUUGGUGAGGUAAAGGCUCACCAAGGCGACGAUCUGUAGCUGGUCUGAGAGGACGACCAGCCACACUGGAACUGAGACACGGUCCAGACUCCUACGGGAGGCAGCAGUGGGGAAUUUUGGACAAUGGGCGCAAGCCUGAUCCAGCAAUGCCGCGUGCAGGACGAAGGCCUUCGGGUUGUAAACUGCUUUUGUACGGAGCGAAACGGUCUUCUCUAAUACAGGGGGCUAAUGACGGUACCGUAAGAAUAAGCACCGGCUAACUACGUGCCAGCCGCCGCCGUAA
rnacentral:rRNA from 1 species